rnacentral:rRNA from 1 species
GAUGAACGCUGGCGGCGUGCCUAAUACAUGCCAGUCGAGCGAACAGACGAGGAGCUUGCUCCUCUGACGUUAGCGGCGGACGGGUGAGUAACACGUGGAUAACCUACCUAUAAGACUGAGAUAACUUCGGGAAACCGGAGCUAAUACCGGAUAAUAUAUUGAACCGCAUGGUUCAAUAGUGAAAGACGGUUUUGCUGUCACUUAUAGAUGGAUCCGCGCCGCAUUAGCUAGUUGGUAAGGUAACGGCUUACCAAGGCAACGAUGCGUAGCCGACCUGAGAGGGUGAUCGGCCACACUGGAACUGAGACACGGGCCAGACUCCUACGGGAGGCAGCAGUAGUGAAUCUUCCGCAAUGGGCGAAAGCCUGACGGAGCAACGCCGCGUGAGUGAUGAAGGUCCUCGGAUCGUAAAACUCUGUUAUUAGGGAAGAACAAAUGUGUAAGUAACUAUGCACGUCUUGACGGUACCUAAUCAGAAAGCCACGGCUAACUACGUG